rnacentral:lncRNA from 1 species
CAGAAAUUUCAGUACAGUUAUAUUUACGAACUACGCAAUAUUGAAGAUUGUAUUGAUGCUCCCCACUAUGAUGCUGGGUCGAGAAUGUAUCUCUACAGAUGUCAUGAAAUGCAGGGAAACCAAGAGUUUCAUUAUACCCAGGUACAUUUUUUCUUCUGAAAACUGAAACUUAGUAGUGUAUUGUUAGUUUAAACUACAUACAGUAAAAACAAGCUGGCUAUAACCACAAGUCUACAAUUUAGGGCGUUGAGCACUUUUAAGUGUCAUCAAAGAAUUGGUGACCAAUUGUUCUCAUAUAACAGAUACACUUAGUAUGUGAGGUCAGGGUUGGUCCCAUGGUUCGGACUCAUCGUAAUUGGUUCCCGUGGAUUUAUACUACGGAGCUCUGAUGAUAACCCAGCCAUGUCUCAGUGUAUAUGUAUUGUCAAUAUUGUAAAUUCGUUUUGUUUGUAAGGGCAAAGUAUUUUAAAUUUAAAAAAAAGUUGUAAUUUUACUGAAGUAUUUAUAAACUAGAUCAUUCUUUUUUUCAUAUCUAAAUCUGCAUCAAAUAAUUGGUGGCAAAUUGUUCUCAUAUAACAAGUACACUUAUAGUAUGAAGUCAGAGUUAGUCCAUAAACCAUUGUAAUUGUUACUUCAACUUCACACUGAAUUUGAUAACAUGUAUAUAUGUGAAGUAGCCUACUUAUUCUAGUAACAACAAUCCAAUACAGUCAGUAUCGUAUUUUGAUAUGAAUGUAUUAUUACUGCGGCUUUAGAAAUUUCUUUCUGCUUCAGCAAAAGUAAUUAAUAUACAAAGUCAAAAGUGG